CGUCUCAGUUCAGAUUGCAGGCUGCAACUCGCCUGCAUGAAGUCGGAAUUGCUAGUAAUCGCAGAUCAGCGUGCUGCGGUGAAUACGUUCCCGGGCCUUGUACACACCGCCCGUCACACCAUGGGAGUCGGUAACACCCGAAGUCGGUAGCCUAACCGUAAGGAGGGCGCCGCCGAAGGUGGGAUUGAUGACUGGGGUGAAGUCGUAACAAGGUACC
rnacentral:rRNA from 1 species